rnacentral:rRNA from 1 species
CCUACGUGAGGCAGCAGUGGGGAAUAUUGCACAAUGGGGGGAACCCUUAUGCAGCAACGCCGCGUGGGUGAAGAAGUACUCCGGUGUUUAAAGCUCUGUCAGCCGGGAAGAAAAUUGCGGUACCUGACCCAGAAGCCCCGGCUAACUACGUUCCCGCAGCCGCGGUAAUACGUAGGGGGCAAGCGUUAUCCGGAUUUACUGGUUGGAAAGGGAGCGUAGACGGCAAGGCAAGUCUGGAGUGAAAGCCCGUGGCCCAACCACGGGACUGCUUUGGAAACUGUGUUGCUGGAGUGCAGGAGGGGUAAGCGGAAUUCCGAGUGUAGCGGUGAAAUGCGUAGAUAUUAGGAGGAACACCGGUGGCGAAGGCGGCUUACUGGACUGUAACUGACGUUGAGGCUCGAAGGCGUGGGGAGCAAACAGGAUUAGAUACCCUGGUAGUC